AGAGUUUGAUCCUGGCUCAGGACGAACGCUGGCGGCACGCUUAACACAUGCAAGUCGAACGAGAGAAGAGGAGCUUGCUUUUCUGAUCUAGUGGCGGACGGGUGAGUAACACGUGAGCAAUCUGCCUUUCAGAGGGGGAUACCGAUUGGAAACGAUCGUUAAUACCGCAUAACAUAAUUGAACCGCAUGAUUUGAUUAUCAAAGAUUUAUCGCUGAAAGAUGAGCUCGCGUCUGAUUAGCUAGUUGGUAAGGUAACGGCUUACCAAGGCGACGAUCAGUAGCCGGACUGAGAGGUUGAUCGGCCACAUUGGGACUGAGACACGGCCCAGACUCCUACGGGAGGCAGCAGUGGGGAAUAUUGCACAAUGGAGGAAACUCUGAUGCAGCGAUGCCGCGUGAGGGAAGAAGGUUUUAGGAUUGUAAACCUCUGUCUUCAGGGACGAAAAAAGACGGUACCUGAGGAGGAAGCUCCGGCUAACUACGUGCCAGCAGCCGCGGUAAUACGUAGGGAGCGAGCGUUGUCCGGAAUUACUGGGUGUAAAGGGAGCGUAGGCGGGAUCGCAAGUCAGAUGUGAAAACUAUGGGCUUAACCCAUAAACUGCAUUUGAAACUGUGGUUCUUGAGUGAAGUAGAGGUAAGCGGAAUUCCUAGUGUAGCGGUGAAAUGCGUAGAUAUUAGGAGGAACAUCAGUGGCGAAGGCGGCUUACUGGGCUUUAACUGACGCUGAGGCUCGAAAGCGUGGGGAGCAAACAGGAUUAGAUACCCUGGUAGUCCACGCCGUAAACGAUGAUUACUAGGUGUGGGGGGACUGACCCCUUCCGUGCCGCAGCAAACGCAAUAAGUAAUCCACCUGGGGAGUACGACCGCAAGGUUGAAACUCAAAGGAAUUGACGGGGGCCCGCACAAGCAGUGGAGUAUGUGGAUUAAUUCGAAGCAACGCGAAGAACCUUACCAGGUCUUGACAUCGUAUGCAUAGCUCAGAGAUGAGUGAAAUCUCUUCGGAGACAUAUAGACAGGUGGUGCAUGGUUGUCGUCAGCUCGUGUCGUGAGAUGUUGGGUUAAGUCCCGCAACGAGCGCAACCCUUACUGUUAGUUGCUACGCAAGAGCACUCUAGCAGGACUGCCGUUGACAAAACGGAGGAAGGUGGGGAUGACGUCAAAUCAUCAUGCCCCUUAUGACCUGGGCCUCACACGUACUACAAUGGCUGUCAACAGAGGGAAGCAAAGCCGCGAGGUGGAGCGAACCCCUAAAAGCAGUCUUAGUUCGGAUUGUAGGCUGCAACCCGCCUACAUGAAGUCGGAAUUGCUAGUAAUCGCAGAUCAGCAUGCUGCGGUGAAUACGUUCCCGGGCCUUGUACACACCGCCCGUCACGCCAUGGGAGUCGGUAACACCCGAAGCCUGUAGUCUAACCGCAAGGAGGACGCAGUCGAAGGUGGGAUUGACGACUGGGGUGAAGUCGGAACAAGGUAGCCGUAUCGGAAGGUGCGGCUG
rnacentral:rRNA from 1 species